AUUGAACGCUGGCGGCAGGCCUAACACAUGCAAGUCGAGCGGAGCGGCGGACGGGUGAGUAAUGCCUAGGAAUCUGCCUGGUAGUGGGGGAUAACGUCCGGAAACGGGCGCUAAUACCGACUACUAUCAAAUGAACCUGGGUCGGAUUAGCUAGUUGGUGGGGUAAAGGCCUACCAAGGCGACGAUCGGUAACUGGUCUGAGAGGAUGAUCAGUCAAACUGGACAUGAGACACGGUCCAGAUGCCUACGGGGGGCAGAAGGGGGGAAUAUUGGACAAUGGGCGAAAGCCUGAUCCAGCCAUGCCGCGUGUGGGAAGAAGGUCUUCGGAUUGUAAAGCACUUUAAGUUGGGAGGCGUUACCAACAGAAUAAGCACCGGCUAACUUCGUGCCAGCAGCCGCGGUAAUAC
rnacentral:rRNA from 1 species